rnacentral:rRNA from 2 species
AGGUGUGAUCAUACCAGCACUAUUGCAUUGUAUCCCAUCAGGAACUCCGCAGUGAAGCAUGUUUGGGCGAGAGUAGUACUAGGAUGGGUGACCUCCUAGGAAGUCCUCGUGUUGCACCUC